GGAGGGAGCGAGCGUUGUUCGGAAUCACUGGGCGUAAAGGGCGCGUAGGCGGCCGAGUAAGUCGUGUGUGAAAGACCGGGGCUCAACUCCGUGUACUGCAUGCGAUACUGCUCGGCUAGAGAAAGGUAGAGGCGAGUGGAAUUCCCGGUGUAGCGGUGGAAUGCGUAGAUAUCGGGAAGAACACCUGUGGCGAAGGCGGCUCGCUGGGCCUUUUCUGACGCUGAAGUGCGAAAGCGUGGGGAGCAAACAGGAUUAGAUACCCUGGUAGUCCACGCCGUAAACGAUGGGCACUAGGCGUUGGGAGGAUUGACCCUCUCAGUGCCGUAGCUAACGCGUUAAGUGCCCCCGCCUGGGGAUACGGCCGCAAGGCUG
rnacentral:rRNA from 1 species